rnacentral:rRNA from 1 species
UAACACAUGCAAGUCGAACGAGGUCCAUCCACUCGCAAGAGUGGUGAAGACCUAGUGGCGAACGGGUGAGUAACACGUGAGAAACCUGCCCCGAAGACCGGGAUAACUCACCGAAAGGUGAGCUAAUACCGGAUGCCUUCACGACGUCUCAUGGCGAUGUGAAGAAAUGGAUUCCGCUUCGGGAGGGUCUCGCGGCCUAUCAGCUUGUUGGUGAGGUAACGGCUCACCAAGGCGACGACGGGUAGCUGUUCUGAGAGGAAGAUCAGCCACACUGGGACUGAGACACGGCCCAGACUCCUACGGGAGGCAGCAGUGGGGAAUCUUGCGCAAUGGGCGAAAGCCUGACGCAGCGAUGCCGCGUGCGGGAAGACGGCCUUCGGGUUGUAAACCGCUUUCAGCAGGGACGAAAUUGACGGUACCUGCGGAAGAAGCUCCGGCCAACUACGUGCCAGCAGCCGCGGUAAGACGUAGGGGGCGAGCGUUGUCCGGAAUUAUUGGGCGUAAAGGGCUCCUAGGCGGUUCAGUAAGUCGACUGUGAAAAUCCAAGGCUCAACCUUGGGACGCCAGUCGAUACUGCUGUGACUCGAGUUCGGUAGGGGAGUGUGGAAUUCCUGGUGUAGCGGUGAAAUGCGCAGAUACCAGGAGGAACACCAACGGCGAAGGCAGCACUCUGGGCC